GGAAGGAUCAUUAACACGUAUCCAACGUACAAACCCCUUUAUACGAACCAUAACCCGCCCUUUGACUGCGUUUGCGUCGGUUCCUUCGGGAAUCGGACAAAGCAGCGUGCAGCUGGGAACGGCUGCAUUGCUGGCGCUCUGCCUUUGCUUGCAAAGGUACCCCGCGCAGUGACUGUUGUGCCUUUUUCACUUUUUUCAACCCAUUCUCUGGUUUGACGAAAAACAACACUUCUUGUCGAGGCGCCGUUCGCGGCACUUGCAGGAUUUUAUUUAUUGAACUCUGAACAACUUUUAGCAACGGAUGUCUUGGUUCUCGCAACGAUGAAGAACGCAGCGAAAUGCGAUACGUAAUGUGAAUUGCAGAAUUCAGUGAAUCAUCGAAUCUUUGAACGCAAAUUGCACUUCGGGGAAUCCCCUGGAGUAUGCUUCUUUGAGUAUCGGUUCUAUCUAUCUCGAAUCCACUUCGUGUGGGUCCUAGAGAAGAGAUUGGGCGUUUCGUCGUCACCGGCGCAUCGCCUCAAAUGGACGGUUACAGCUCCUCGUGCUGCUGUGGCGUGAAAAGAUAGGCGGCCUUCGUGCUGCUCUUUCGCUGUCUUCGGAUAGCUAUCUUUUUCUCUGCUUGCAGUGGCCGCUCUGCAAAGAGCGGGAGUUUGUCUGCCGACACGCAGUUCGUGCGCUUGUAAGCGAGCGGCUGCGAGUCAACUUUACAACAAAUCUGAUCUCAAAUGAAGUAAGAGGACCCCCUGAAUUUAAGCAUAUCAUUAAGGGGAGGAAAAGAAACUAACAAGGAUUCCCCCAGUAACGGCGAGUGAAGCGGGAAAAGCUCAAGCUUAAAAUCGGUUGCCCUUGCGGUGAUCGAAUUGUAGUCUAGAGGAGUGUGGUCAGCGCGUGGCCCGGACCUAAGUCCUUUGGAACAGGGCGUCAGAGAGGGUGAGAACCCCGUCUUUGGUUCGGAGACCGCCGCGUACGAUACGCUUUCGAAGAGUCGGGUUGCUUGGGACUGCAGCCCUAAUUGGAUGGUAAAUUUCAUCUAAAGCUAAAUAUUGGCGAGAGACCGAUAGCGAACAAGUACCGUGAGGGAAAGAUGAAAAGAACUUUGAAAAGAGAGUUAAAAAGUGCCUGAAAUUGCUAAAAGGGAAGCGAUGAAAAUCAGUCGUGUGAGCGUAGUCAAAUUCCUCCCGGCAGUGGAUCCAGACGGCGAGUCACCGCAAGGGGCUCGACGGCUGGUGAGUGCUGCCUGCAGUUUCUGAUUGCGUUCGAGUUCCAGGAUCAGUUCGGUGCAUCUCAGAACCGCUCGGGGAAGGUAGGUUAGAUGGCGCAAGCUUGAAAACUGUUACAGCCCCGGGUAGCGUGAGUGUGUACUGGACUGAGGCUUCUAUUGAAGGCAAGGCGCGCCCUUUGGCGAGACGGCGGCACCCCGGGUCGUGGGGAGGCUGGAAUGCAAUGCAUUGCUGCUUCCGUAACGGCUUGCUGGUGUUGUCCACUUUCUGCGCUUUCGCGAUCCUGGAGAAAUGGUUUUCACCGACCCGUCUUGAAACACGGACCAAGGAGUCUAACAUAUAUGCGAGUAUUUGGGUGUAAAACCCUGAUGCGCAAUGAAAGUGAAGGCAGGCGAUCUCGUCUGCUGAAGUGUGAUCCGCAAGGAGCAACAUUGACCGAUCUGUCAUUUAUGAAAGAUUUGAGUAAAAGCAUAUCUGUCGGGACCCGAAAGAUGGUGAACUAUGCCUGGACAGGGCGAAGCCAGGGGAAACUCUGGUGGAGGCUCGUAGCGAUACUGACGUGCAAAUCGUUCGUCUGAUCUGGGUAUAGGGGCGAAAGACUAAUCGAACCAUCUAGUAGCUGGUUCCCUC
rnacentral:misc_RNA from 1 species